CACUAUGUCGACAUCGUCAUCCUCUCGCGCUGCCCCCUCGGCUGAUGAGUCCGACUAUGUCACUGUUGUCCCUUGACGUGAUUCCCCGCCUCUGUGGAAGAAGACCCCUCGGAAGACACGAAAGACACGGGAGACUCGGUGGAGAUUAGUAGCGACAACGCCCUGAGUCAGCAACGCGAGACAUAGCUUGCAUCGGUGUUUUGUAUCCGACACACUGCGAGGAAGAACGUCUCUAGACCCGUAGGAAUGUUAUCCGAUGGAGCAGGACCUAGUAGGGUAGGACCUAGCAUGGCAGGACCGAGAGCACCCCCACCACAUCGAGUAAUUGAGAUACCUAUCAGGCAGGUAGAUAUAACCUUAGAGGAGUCUCGAAGAAUGCAAUGGAUGGCAGCGGACCUACGUCAGAGUCUCACAGUGAUAGCUGGGCAUCAGCAGGUUUUGGAUGUAGUGACGACAUGAAUGGGCAUCCUAUUUCACUACGAGAAUACAAAGCUAAGGCGACGACAGCUAUCCCGACGCCGGUAAUCGUCGCUACAAGUCAACCUAUGCCGACGACAAGUCGUCGCCAUAGGUCUCGCGGGAACGUCGAAAAUGUUGGCGGUAAUAUGAAAAUAUAUACCGAUGACGUGUCGUCGGUAUAGGUAAUAAAAAAAGGAUUUUUCAUUUAUUUUUAUUCCAAGUGCCAGAAAAAGAAAACGACGUAGUUUUUGAACACCCUAUCCCGGUGACAAGUCGUCGGCACAGGGUUUUUAAUUUACAUUUAUAUUUUUAUUCGAGGAUUAAAUGAUACGUCGUCGUUUAUGUCGACCCUAUGCCGACGACAUGUCGUCGGCAUAGGGGUAUACCCUAAUUCAGUGAAUUCAAAUUAGAAUUGCCUGAAAAUGAUUUCAAAAAGGAAUUUCCUUCAUGGUUUAAACAAAAGGUAAGUAUGUUAUAUAUUUAUAAUGUAAAACUAAGUUAUUGCUUAAACAUAUAAUCUUAUAUUUCCUUAUAGAUUUAUUGUCUCCAAAAAGAUGUGCCUACGGACUGUACUGACGAAUUAAAGGCGUUGGCAUAUGGUCCGUUGCGUGCAUAUUCGUACACUGCAUGCAUAGUAAAUGGUGUCCGAUUUGUCAUGAAUAGUCGUGAUCUCCGACGCACUACUCAAAAUAGUGGUGUUGUUACAUUCGGAGAAGACGGUACACCAUUUUAUGGUCAAUUAGAGGAGAUCAUAGAGUUACAUCCUUUAUAUGAUAAAUCAGUUGUACUCUUUCAUGGUAAAUGGUUCAAUGCCUCAUUACGUAAUGGACGCUUAAAGACUAUAAAUAAUAUGAUUCUUAUCGAUACCAGUCAUGAAUGGUAUGUCAGUAAAACGUGGUUUGAUGAUCAACAAUACAUCUUAGCCACACAAGCUAAACAAGUAUUUUAUCUCCAAGAUCCCACUCAAAACAAUAACUGGAGAGUUGUGGAAGAGGUUCAUCAUCGAAAACUUUGGAAUCAUCCAAGUAUCGGUGUUGUGAAUGAGAUAGAUGUUGUGAACAACACUCAAUCAACUGAUUUUACCUUGGUUGUUGACUUAGGCACCUUACCUAUGCAGACGACUUUAGGUGAAGUUGGUGAAUCAAGUGUGGUUGCUAGGAGGAAUGUUGCUCCUAAUAUAAACGAUGACGAUUUCAUUAACGAUGAAAAUGACAAUGAUGAUACGUACUCUUCAGAUGAAGAAAUAAAUAAUGAAAACUAUGACAGUGAUGAUGAUGUUGUACAUGUAUAUUGUUCUAGUGAUGAAUCUGAUUGAUGGUAUGUUAUUGUUAUUAUAUCUCCUGAUUGCUUAUAAUAUUUGUUAAAUUUUGAAAUGUUGCUUAUUUCUAGUUUUAUUAUAUAUUCUGAAUGUUUAUAAUAUUUGUUAAACAGAUGGCAGAAGUCGCGAGGGGACAUAGAGGAGACGGUGGGGAUAGACCUCCACACGGGAUUGCACGCGGUGUACCAUCGGAUUGCCAAUCUUGUAAGUUAUAUGAAAUUUUUAAUUAUUAGAUAUAUUAAUGUUUUAAAUUUCUAAAUUUCCAAUUGUAUAUGUAAAUAUAGCACAAGCGAAGAAUGUGAAUGUGCGUGGCAAAGGGAGAAACUUAAAUUUGUACGAUGAGUAUGAAAAAAACAAGUGUAAGCCUUUGGAAUUGCUAAUUGAUAUCUCCGGGCGGACGUAUCGAGUUAUAGGGGACAACGGGCAACUGUUUGUCAGACUGAUCUCAAAUCUGGUGGGAUCAAAGGUACCGUUGCAUUAUCAUACUUGGCGUCGUGUUCCUGCCAAGUACAAAGUUGAUUUAUAUCCCGAGCUAGAGGUAAAUAUAUAAUACAUUUUAUAUGUAUUGAAUUUUACACUUAUUAAAUAUUUUUUUACUAAUCAAAUAUGUUUUUCCUUUUGCAGACUUAUUUUGAUAUUGAUAGGUAUCGGGGCACAAACUUGUGGGAACCCCUUCGAGCGGGUAUCCAAGCAGAUAUGCAAAGAGCUUAUCGAGAGCGCAAGUAUCAGAUAAAAAAACAUUUUGAUAGAGUUGGUGGAUAUCGUAAUGUGGAAAGGGCAAGAAGACGUCCACCGGAUGAUUGGACCGCCAAAGCUUGGAACGAUAUGAUUGAUUUGUUGUUUUUGACCGAGGAAUACAGACGCACGUCGGAAAAAAAUAAAGUUACUAGGUCGAAACUUCCACACACAAGUGCUCACGGAUGUAGACCGUAUGCUCAACGACGUUAUUUAGAGGUAAUAAAAUACAUUAGUAUUAUUUAAAAUUGUUAUUAACAUUUGUACAAAUACAUUUAUUGUUUUUUCACUUAUUAUAGGAACAAAUGGGAAUCAAGCCGCAACAUAUUGAGGGUUGGAGACAAAUGCGCUACAAAGAAGGUUCGGGUUGGUGUACAAGUCGAGUAGAAGAAGACUGGAUAAGUGAUAAACGAAAUGAAUAUGGUGUUUAAAUAUAUUAUUAUUAAUUAUAGUUUCUUGUUUAAGGAAUAUUAUUAUUUUUUGAAUGUUUAAGUUUAGUUGUUUGUUUUAAUUAACGUAUGUUAAUUGUUUUCUUUAUUUUAGGAGAAAAUUCAAAAUGAAUAUGAGAAAAUGCAAAACGAGGUUGGGGAAGGAGGAGAAGUAAACGAGGAAGAAUGUUUAGAACGUGCCCUUGGGACGAGACGUGGACAUGCUCGCGGGGUGGGUAGGAGACCAACCGCCAACUUCGGUUUAAUUCCAAAUGAACGGCCUUCCACUUCCAAAUCGUCUCAAUCUCAACCCCAAUCUCAAUCCCAAUUCGAUGCACAACAAAUGCAAGAAUAUUUGCAACAAUAUAAUGCGUCAUUGGUGGCUUGUAUUCCGAACUUCCAACCACCACCAUUUCCUAACUUUCUAUUAAACUAUAACACACAAGCAAGUAGCUCUCAACAAUUUUCCGAAAGGAUGGAAGGAGAAGAAGAAGGAGAAGAAGAAGAAGGAGAAGACUACUUAUUGUUAGUUAACUACUUAUUGUAAUAUUAAACUUGAACAAUGUUAGUUAACUACUUAUUGUAAUAUUAAACUUGAAUUUGAUGUUUUGAAUUUGAACAAUGGUACCUAGUUAAUGUAUUUCAAUUGAUAUAUGUUGCAAUGUUUUUUGGAUUUGUUAAAAAUGCAGGAAUGGUAAUGUACAAAACCUAUAAAGCUAAAAAAACAACCAGUAGCUAUCCCGACAACUAGUCGUCACUAUAGGUCCAUAACCGUUAACUGAUAAAACCCUUUAGCGACGACAAGGCAUCGUAAUAGCCUCAACUUGUCCCGACGACUUGUCGUCACCAUAGCUAUCCCGACGAUAAGUCGUUGCCAUAGGAUUUAAAUAAAACAUUAUUUUUUUCCGCUGAAAAUGUCGUUGACAAAAUAUGUGUCGACGACAUGUCGUCGCAAUAGAGCUAGCUAUACCGACGACUUCUAUGCCGACGACCUAACAAACCUAUGUCGACACGCCUGUGCCGACGACUUUUUCCCGACGACUUGUCGUCGCCAUACCCUAUGCUGACGACUUGUCGUCUGCAGAGGGCCUAAAAUCGUCGUCUGCAUAGGGUCCGAUUGUUGUAGUGUUUCAACAUGUGAUAGAGGCUACCGAUAUUGCUAGAGCUGCCAGGCGAGUGACACGUCGUGCAAUGACCGCAUGUUAUGUGUUCGGAUGGCUGCUACUGAUCAUGUUGUGAAUAUUUCUUGUUGGUAUAGCGAUUCGUAUUUAGUUAUGAUUUCAAUAUUUUAUUUUAUCAUGUAAUAAAAACCUAUGUGGGAUGUAUUUUAGGAGAAACAUUAAAACUUUGUUUUGGGAAUGAUGUAUUGUUUUGGUAUUAAAACUAUUUCGAAUGGUCAUGAAAAAGAUUAUUUUAAUGUUUGAAAACUUUUACUCUCGUAGUAAAAGUUAAAGUUUUCAAACAGAAAAUAAUGUUUUGGAAACUCUUUGAUAAUAUUUUGGUUUUUAAGAGUUUAAAACACAAUUAAAUGUGUUGAUUAUCCUCAAUUAAUAUUACAAAAAUCUAAAAAAUAAUAGCCAAAAUUGUCUUAAUCACAUGAAUUAUAAAAUUUCACUAUUUCAGAAAAAUUGUUACUAAUUAAUAUAAAACCAAUAUUUGAACAAAAAUUAGGUGUUUCUCUAUAUGUAGAAUUUAGUAUAUUAACAUUAGAUUUCGACAUAGAAACUCACCAGCGUGUGUUUGAUGUCGUAGGAUCCCGGUAGUAAGGCGUUGGUGUAACCCGAGGCACCACUUGUAGCAACUUGAAACAUUGUGAGUAUUCACGACUCCUCUUAUUUCUAGUUUUUAUGUUUUAGGAUGGAAAAACAUUUUCAAAAAACUAUUUAUUGAUCGUUGUAUUUAAAUUGAAGUGUAUUAAACUUGAUUGUUAUAUUUUGCUAUGUAUGUCUAUGCAACUUGAAACAUGAGACCUUAUCGUAUUAAGUCUUUUCCACUUUAGUCCAACCGUUAACUCUUUGAGCCAAAGGUCAUUAUGGAUAACACUUUUAGGAAUUGACAACUCCUCACUCGCCUGAUUGCUUGAGUGCAUGAUACUAUAUUCAUCAAUGAAACGAUAAACAUAGAUCUUGAUAGGGCAUCGGUCAUAGGCUUGGUUGGGAACUCAUUGUUUGCUCAUAUACAUACAAACUUGUUUAUUAAUUAUAGCAAUGAACUUUGUUUCUCAUUAUAGCAAUGUACUUGUAUUUAUGGUAACUUUUAUACCAAAUCUUGAUUUAGUAAACUUAUGAACUCACCAACUAUUUUCAUAGUUGACCCUCGUUUUAUAUGCUUUUUAAGGAAAUAAUUAGUAAGUGGAUAUUAAGACUCCUCAUCAUAGAGCAUGUCGAAUCAUGUGGAAGUUAUUUUAUGAAUUUAAUUUUUGAACAAUGGUAUUUUGGGAAACUUGUAUUUUGUUUUGUUUAAAUUAUGGGUUGUAAACUUUUAACUAUUACUAUGGUGAUGUAUCUUUAUCUUUUGCUAUGAAACAUUUAUCGCUGUCAUAUCUUGCGUUUCCGCUUUAGCAGAGUGUGAUAGAAAUAGUUAGGGAUGAGCAAAAGGACCGAACCGGACCGAAUAGGACCCGACCCGGGAACUGGCUUCGGCCAAAAUCAAGAACCGAACCGGCCCGGUAGUUCUACCUGUUCCGGUUCUACCGGUUCCUGGUUCCUACCGGUUCUUGUCGUGUCUUCAAAUGUUGGAACCGGUCCUUGAAAAAUAGCAUCAUAUGGUUCCGGUUUUUGCCGGUUCUACCGGUUUUGAUUCCUACCGGUUUGCAGUUCCAAAAAUCCACAAAAAUAACGUCCCGGUCCCGGCCCGACCGGUUCCAUCAGGUUCCGGUUCCGGUGCCGGUUUCGGUUCCGGUACCGGUUCUGGUACUGGUUCCCCGGUCCAUAUGCUCAUCCCUAGAAAUAGCAAUGAAAUUAUAGCAAUGAAAUUUGUUUCUCAUUAUAGCAAUGUACUUGUAUUUAUGGUAACUUUUAUACCAAAUCUUGAUUUAGUAAACUUGUGAACUCACCAACUAUUUUCAUAUUGACCCUCAUUUUAUAUGCUUUUUAAGGAAAUAAUUAGUAAGUGGAUAUUAAGAUUCCUCAUCAUAGAGCAUGCUGAAUCGUGUGGAAGUUAUUUUAUGAAUUUAGUUUUUGAACAAUGGUAUUUUGGGAAACUUGUAUUUUAUUUUGUUUAAAUUAGUGGUUGUAAACUUUUAACUAUUACUAUGGUGAUGUAUCUUUAUCUUUUGCAAUGAAACAUUUAUCGCUGUCAUCUCUUGUGUUUCCGCUUUAGCAGAGUGUGAUAGAAAUAGCAAUGAAACAAUUAUAGCAAUGAACUUUGUUUCUCAUUAUAGCAAUGUACUUGUAUUUAUGGUAACUUUUAUACCAAAUCUUGAUUUAGUAAACUUGUGAACUCACAAACUAUUUUCAUAGUUGACCCUCAUUUUAUAUGCUUUUUAAGGAAAUAAUUAGUAAAUGGAUAUUAAGAUUCCACAUCAUAGAGCAUGCUGAAUCAUGUGGAAGUUAUUUUAUGAAUUUAAUUUUUGAGUAACGGUAUUUUGGGAAACUUGUAUUUUAUUUUUUUUAAAUUAUGGGUUGUAAACUUUUAACUAUUACUAUGGUGAUGUAUCUUUAUCUUUUGCAAUGAAACAUUUAUCGUUGUCAUAUCUUGCGUUUCUGCUUUAGCAGAGUGUGAUAGAAACAGUAUCAGAGCUAAAGUUAUAAAGAACAUCAGUUUUCUUUUAAGAAAACCCAACCUAUAACCAAAACCUAUAAAUUUUCUUUUUUACGUUGAACAUACUACUAAUAUAAUUAGGCUGGGAGUUGUAUUAUUGGACUUCAAUUAAACAAAGCCUGAUCACCUAUGUUUAAUUAAGGAAAGAUUUAUACAAGACUUGAGUUAACUAUAAUGGGAAUAUGUUCAACCAAAUUUUUGCGAAAACUUUAUUUCAAAAAUUCAAAAGGUGAAUUUUGGUCUGUGUAAGCAUUGCAUAUUAAAGGCAUUCAUUGUUAUUUGUUUCGUAACUCAUUAAAACUAUAUCUCAGUCCACUAUGUCGACAUCGUCAUCCUCUCGUGUUGCCCACUCGGCUGAUGAGUCCGACUAUGUCACCGUUGUCCAUUGACGUGAUCCCCCUGCCUCUAUGGAAGAAGACCACCCAGAAGACAUGGAAGACACGAGAGACUCUGUGGAGAUUAGUAGCGACAACGCCUCGAGUCAGCAACGCUAGGCAUCUCCUGCAUCGGUGUUUCGUAUCCGACACACUGCAAGGAAGAACACCUUUAGGCCCAUGGGGAUGUCAUCCGAUGGAGCAGGACC
rnacentral:lncRNA from 1 species